rnacentral:rRNA from 1 species
GAUGAACGCUGGCGGCGUGCCUAAUACAUGCAAGUCGAGCGAACGGACGAGAAGCUUGCUUCUCUGAUGUUAGCGGCGGACGGGUGAGUAACACGUGGAUAACCUACCUAUAAGACUGGGAUAACUUCGGGAAACCGGAGCUAAUACCGGAUAAUAUUUUGAACCGCAUGGUUCAAAAGUGAAAGACGGUCUUGCUGUCACUUAUAGAUGGAUCCGCGCUGCAUUAGCUAGUUGGUAAGGUAACGGCUUACCAAGGCAACGAUGCAUAGCCGACCUGAGAGGGUGAUCGGCCACACUGGAACUGGAACACGGUCCAGACUACUACGGGAGGCAGCAGUAGGGAAUCUUCCGCAAUGGGCGAAAGCCUGACAGAGCAACGCCGCGUGAGUGAUGAAGGUCUUCGGAUCGUAAAACUCUGUUAUUAGGGAAGAACAUAUGUGUAAGUAACUGUGCACAUCUUGACGGUACCUAAUCAGAAAGCCACGGCUAACUACGUG